GAUGAAGAACGUAGCGAAAUGCGAUAAGUAAUGUGAAUUGCAGAAUUCAGUGAAUCAUCGAAUCUUUGAACGCACAUUGCGCCAGCCAGUAUUCUGGCGGGCAUGCCUGUUCGAGCGUCAUUACAACCCUCAGGCCCCCGGGCCUGGCGUUGGGGAUCGGCGGAGCCCCCCGUGGGCACACGCCGUCCCCCAAAUGCAGUGGCGGUCCCGCCGCAGCUUCCAUCGCGUAGUAGCUAACACCUCGCGACUGGAGAGCGGCGCGGCCACGCCGUAAAACACCCAACUCUUCUGAAGUUGACCUCGAAUCAGGUAGGAAUACCCGCUGAACUUAAGCAUAUCAAUAAGCGGAGGA
rnacentral:misc_RNA from 1 species